rnacentral:rRNA from 1 species
AUUGAACGCUGGCGGCAGGCCUAACACAUGCAAGUCGAACGAGUGGCGGACGGGUGAGUAAUGUCUGGGAAACUGCCUGAGGGGGGGGGAUAACUACUGGAAACGGUAGCUAAUACCGCAUACAAUCAACUGUGCCCAGAUGGGAUUAGCUGGUUGGUGGGGUAACGGCUCACCAAGGCGAGGAUCCGGAGCUGGUCUGAGAGGAUGACCAGCCACACUGGAACUUAGACACGGUCCAGACUCCGACGGGAGGCAGCAGGGGGGAAUAUUGCACAAUGGGAGCAAGCAUGAUGCAGCCAUUCCGCGUGUAUGAAGAAGGCCUUCGGGUUGUAAAGUACUUUCAGCGGGGAGGCGUUACCCGCAGAAGAAGCACCGGCUAACUCCGUGCCAGCAGCCGCGGUAAUAC